CCUACGGGGCGCAGCAGUGAGGAAUAUUGGUCAAUGGGCGAGAGCCUGAACCAGCCAAGUCGCGUGAAGGAAGAAGGUACUUAGUAUUGUAAACUUCUUUUGCCGGGGAGCAAGGGCGGGGACGUGUCCCGGCCCGGAGAGUACCCGGAGAAAAAGCAUCGGCUAACUCCGUGCCAGCAGCCGCGGUAAUACGGAGGAUGCGAGCGUUAUCCGGAUUUAUUGGGUUUAAAGGGUGCGUAGGCGGGCUUUUAAGGCAGCGGUAAAAAUUCGGGGCGCAACCCCGUCCGGCCGUUGAA
rnacentral:rRNA from 1 species